GACGAACGCUGGCGGCGUGCUUAACACAUGCAAGUCGAACGGAAAGGCCCUGCUUUUGUGGGGUGCUCGAGUGACGAACGGGUGAGUAACACGUGAGUAACCUGCCCUUGACUUUGGGAUAACUUCAGGAAACUGGGGCUAAUACCGGAUAGGAGCUCCUGCUGCAUGGUGGGGGUUGGAAAGUUUCGGCGGUUGGGGAUGGACUCGCGGCUUAUCAGCUUGUUGGUGGGGUAGUGGCUUACCAAGGCUUUGACGGGUAGCCGGCCUGAGAGGGUGACCGGCCACAUUGGGACUGAGAUACGGCCCAGACUCCUACGGGAGGCAGCAGUGGGGAAUAUUGCACAAUGGGCGGAAGCCUGAUGCAGCAACGCCGCGUGCGGGAUGACGGCCUUCGGGUUGUAAACCGCUUUCGCCUGUGACGAAGCGUAAGUGACGGUAAUGGGUAAAGAAGCACCGGCUAACUACGUG
rnacentral:rRNA from 1 species